GACGAACGCUGGCGGCGUGCUUAACACAUGCAAGUCGAACGGAAAGGCCUCUUUCGGGGGGUACUCGAGUGGCGAACGGGUGAGUAACACGUGAGUAACCUGCCCUUGACUUUGGGAUAACUUCAGGAAACUGGGGCUAAUACCGGAUAGGAGCUCCUGCUGCAUGGUGGGGGUUGGAAAGUUUCGGCGGUUGGGGAUGGACUCGCGGCUUAUCAGCUUGUUGGUGGGGUAGUGGCUUACCAAGGCUUUGACGGGUAGCCGGCCUGAGAGGGUGAACGGCCACAUUGGGACUGAGAUAAGGCCCAGAAUCCUACGGGAGGCAGCAGUGGGGAAUAUUGCACAAUGGGUGGAAGCCUGAUGCAGCAAAGCCGUGGGCGGGAUGACGGCCUUCGGGUUGUAAACCGCUUUCGCUCAUGACGAAGCUUUGUGUGACGGUAGUGGGUAAAGAAGCACCGGCUAACUACGUG
rnacentral:rRNA from 1 species